AAAAACAUGAAGAAGAGAAGAGUACUCACUUAGGCGUGAUUAGAGAACAUCGGUAGCUGAGAAGAUGCCACGUUAGGUUGAGGAAGAUGGUCUUGGAGUGGUGUCUACCGGUAUUUAGUAGACAACGAUUAGCGUUCGUUAUAGCGGUACAUUUUUACUAGAAUACGUCCCGCAACUAUUUUUGUUAGUCCGGGACCAAAAAUUUAUAAAACCUAUUCUAUAAAAGUGUUUUAAGUGGCAAUGUUAAUUGCAAAUAAGGUGGUACCGCGCAGAAGCGUCCUUUUC
rnacentral:ncRNA from 1 species